ACAGAGGGUGCAAGCGUUAAUCGGAUUUACUGGGCGUAAAGCGUGUGUAGGUGGCUUCCUAAGUCGGUUGUGAAAUCCCUGGGCUCAACCUGGGAAUUGCAGCCGAUACUGGGAAGCUAGAGUUCGGUAGAGGGUGACGGAAUUCCCGGUGUAGCGGUGAAAUGCGUAGAUAUCUGGAGGAACACCGGUGGCGAAGGCGACAUCCUGGACCGGUAUUGACGCUGAGGCGCGAAAGCCAGGGGAGCAAACGGGA
rnacentral:rRNA from 1 species